rnacentral:tmRNA from 1 species
AGGCGCCGGAGGAUGCGAGAGCUGUAAACGAGGGGAUAAGCAUGUAUGAGCUUUCAGCUGAUGGUUUUCGGACGCGGGUUCAAUUCCCGCCGCCUCCACCA